rnacentral:rRNA from 1 species
CCUACGGGUGACAGCAGUGAGGAAUAUUGGUCAAUGGACGCAAGUCUGAACCAGCCAUGUCGCGUGCAGGAUGACGGCCCUAUGAGUUGUAAACUGCUUUUGUACGGGGGUAAACCCCGAUACGUGUAUCGUGCUGAGAGUAACGUACGAAUAAGGAUCGGCUAACUCCGUGCCAGCAGCCGCGGUAAUACGGAGGAUGCGAGCGUUAUCCGGAUUUAUUGGGUUUAAAGGGUGCGUAGGCGGAACGGAAAGUCAGCGGUAAAAUCGCGAGGCUCAACCCCGGCGAGCCGUUGAAACUGUCGGACUAGAGACGGCGAGAAGUACGCGGAAUGCGUGGUGUAGCGGUGAAAUGCAUAGAUAUCGCGCAGAACUCCGAUUGCGAAGGCAGCGUACCGGCGCCGAACUGACGCUGAGGCACGAAAGCGUGGGUAUCGAACAGGAUUAGAUACCCUAGUAGUC